AGGGUUUGAUUAUGGCUCAGGAUGAACGCUGGCGGCGUGCUUAACACAUGCAAGUCGAACGGGAUCCCAGGAGCUUGCUCCUGGGUGAGAGUGGCGAACGGGUGAGUAAUGCGUGACCGACCUGCCCCAUACACCGGAAUAGCUCCUGGAAACGGGUGGUAAUGCCGGAUGCUCCAGUUGACCGCAUGGUCCUCUGGGAAAGCUUUUGCGGUAUGGGAUGGGGUCGCGUCCUAUCAGCUUGAUGGCGGGGUAACGGCCCACCAUGGCUUCGACGGGUAGCCGGCCUGAGAGGGCGACCGGCCACAUUGGGACUGAGAUACGGCCCAG
rnacentral:rRNA from 1 species